AUAAGAUACUAGGUUGUCCCGCGUCCUUUUUUUAUAAUAAAAUUUUAAGAAAAUUAUCAUCAGAGUUUGAAUAUAUUUUGAAUAAUAUACUGUUGCAGGCCUAAAAUUGAUGAUGAAAAUAAAAAGUGGAUAUUUCUGGGUUCAAAUUUCAUUUUUACUUCAUGGUUUGUUCCAUCUAUUGCUGAUGAUGAUUAUGUAUUAAUCAGAAGUAUUACAAUAUUUUUGAAAAAAUAUUAUUUAAAUUACUGCUAAAAAUGCUUCACAUGCCGGGUUUUCUAGGGAAAACGCUUAAUAUACAGGCUAAAUAAUUUGUAUUGAAUUGUUAGCGUACUCUCUGUUUCCGAAAGUUCCGACGUUAAUGCCAUAUAAUUAAGCAUUUUGUAGUUAAAAAUUAACGAAUUCUUCCGGAUAUGACGUCAUAUCCUGAACACUACACAAAGAUUACAAAUAUAUGUUGAAUUCAAUAUAAAGCAGUCUUUUGUAAUUGAAAAAUAAUGUGUAGCAUAGCUUUAUUUACUACUACAGUAUUAAAUGCACAAGGUAACUGAUGUAUAAUAUGCAAAUAUAUAUAUCGUCCUAUAAUAAGAUUCAUAACAUUAAAUUAUGCACAUCUGAUCAUAAUUUUUCUGCAUAUUGCUUAGAUAUAAACAGGCUUUUUGUUUGCCUAUAUGAUAAAGGCUUAAAACUUCGAUCUAGAUUUUUUGACACCUAUCUUAUCAUCCUGUCCAGGAAGGAGUUCACUUCAUUUAAUUAGGAGAAGGCAUUCUAAGAGGAUGAUGUUUCAUUUGUUUAAAUAAUAAAAUAGAAUCGGAUUAUGUAAAAUUCGAUGAAAUAUUAAUUCUGAUUCACAAAUAUUUAUUAUUUGGCAUAAAUCACUUACUAUAAUAACGUAGGCAUUUCUUGAAUAUUAUUAUAAAUUACUAUUUUUUUCUCCAAGAUUGCUUGUUUGUGAUAAAAUAGGCAUCCAUACACCGUAUUAUAUUUGUAAUAUGCAUUGUUCCGACUUAUAAAUAAAUCACAAACUAAACAAAGUAUCCAAAUGUAAGAUAUGGGACUCAAAUCGGUAUACAUGAUGUAGAUUAGAAAAAAAAAUUGUAAUUAAUGAGGACAUUUUUUAUGCUUUUAAUUUAAAUAUUGGUUUUUAUUUGUUCAGUGUUUUUAAU
rnacentral:lncRNA from 1 species